rnacentral:tRNA from 1 species
GGGGUUGUGGCUCAGUGGUAGAGCACUCAUCUAGCAUGUGUGAGGCAUUGGGUUCGAACUCACAGCACCA